GGGCGCUUAGCUCAGUUGGCUAGAGCAUCUCGUUUACACCGAGAGGGUCGGGGGUUCGAAUCCCUCAGCGCCCACCA
rnacentral:tRNA from 12 species